rnacentral:rRNA from 1 species
GCAGUGAGGAAUAUUGGACAAUGGGUGAGAGCCUGAUCCAGCCAUCCCGCGUGAAGGACGACGGCCCUAUGGGUUGUAAACUUCUUUUGUAUAGGGAUAAACCUACUCUCGUGAGAGUAGCUGAAGGUACUAUACGAAUAAGCACCGGCUAACUCCGUGCCAGCAGCCGCGGUAAUACGGAGGGUGCAAGCGUUAUCCGGAUUUAUUGGGUUUAAAGGGUCCGUAGGCGGACUCGUAAGUCAGUGGUGAAAUCUCAUAGCUUAACUAUGAAACUGCCAUUGAUACUGCGGGUCUUGAGUAAAGUAGAAGUGGCUGGAAUAAGUAGUGUAGCGGUGAAAUGCAUAGAUAUUACUUAGAACACCAAUUGCGAAGGCAGGUCACUAUGUUUUAACUGACGCUGAUGGACGAAAGCGUGGGGAGCGAACAGGAUUAGA